rnacentral:misc_RNA from 1 species
AGGACAUCUCGCAGCUGAAG